rnacentral:tRNA from 1 species
GGGGAUUUGGCUCAGUGGUAGAGCGCUUGCCUAGCAAGCGUAAGGCCCUGGGUUCCAGUCCCCA